rnacentral:rRNA from 1 species
CCAUGACGCUGGCGGCAGGCCUAACACAUGCAAGUCGAGCGGAAACGAGUUAUCUGAACCUUCGGGGAACGAUAACGGCGUCGAGCGGCGGACGGGUGAGUAAUGCCUAGGAAAUUGCCCUGAUGUGGGGGAUAACCAUUGGAAACGAUGGCUAAUACCGCAUAAUGCCUACGGGCCAAAGAGGGGGACCUUCGGGCCUCUCGCGUCAGGAUAUGCCUAGGUGGGAUUAGCUAGUUGGUGAGGUAAGGGCUCACCAAGGCGACGAUCCCUAGCUGGUCUGAGAGGAUGAUCAGCCACACUGGAACUGAGACACGGUCCAGACUCCUACGGGAGGCAGCAGUGGGGAAUAUUGCACAAUGGGCGCAAGCCUGAUGCAGCCAUGCCGCGUGUGUGAAGAAGGCCUUCGGGUUGUAAAGCACUUUCAGUCGUGAGGAAGGUAGUGUAGUUAAUAGCUGCAUUAUUUGACGUUAGCGACAGAAGAAGCACCGGCUAAC